GCGGGGCUCCAACAGACACCCGGGUGGGGUUUCAUGUGUAAAAUGUAGCAGUGUUGCAUUUAACCAGCCACAGGAAAGACAGUACAUCCUGUGUUAGUGUCCGUCCCUCCCUCCCUUCCUUCUUUCCCUCUUUCCCUCCCUCCCUCCUUCACAAAAGGAAGAAAGAAAAAAAAAAAAAAAGACCCAUAGCUGUAUCUAUAUGAGUGCAUGUACAGCCAUUGAGGGAUGCCCUAGCCCUGGGUUCUGGGUUGGUUUGUUGUUGGUUUUUUUUUUUUUCCUCCUUUUUAAAUUUGAGAUGCAACUGAACCGAGGGCCUCGUGCACACUAUGAAGGUGCUUUCCUCUAAGGCUUAGCCCCAACCUGCCCCUUCAGCCCUGUUUUACUUUUUGUUGUUCAGGCUGCUCUUGGACUUGUGAUCUCCUGCUUCUGCCCCUGAGCCCCUGGCAUUGCCUCCUAGGCAGGCUCCUGGCUUCCUGUUCGUAUCAGUGUGUUUAUAUUCUGGCUCAGGGUAAUACAGCCGGGGCUACACAGAGAAACCCUGUAUGGAAAAAGUGAGAGAGGAGGAGGAGGAGGAAGAAGAAGUUUCCCCGAAUAAAGCUCUUUCUUUUCCUUUGAAUAUUUUCUCCAAUUUUUUUGUUAUUGACUCUCCCAACUUUUUGUUUUGGGAAAUUUCCACUUGUAAAAUGUUGCUAGAGAAGAACAGCACACACCAUGGCAGUUCUCCACACUUGUGUGGCAGGAACGUUGGAGGACAAGUUCUGCCUGUGCUGUGAGACUUUAGCUACAAGGAUGGGGUUUCUGAGAGGCCGUCCGGUCUCCUGACUACUGAGGUUGAUCCCUGCCCGGCCUUGGAAGUACGGUAGUGAUGCUAUUGAUAACAUGUGGGCUGCUGCCUCCGUGUCCCCGGGCUCGGGGCGGGGCUGCCCAUUGGUGUUCCAGGGUGAGGUGGAAGCAGCACUUUGCCCCGCACCCCUGUAGACUGCAGUGUUUUCAGCCACGUCUGUUUCUGUUGCGGCCUUGACACUUUGUUUCAUUUUAUAAGUGUCGUGUUGUUUGUCUUGGUGUUUCACCUGCAAAUAUGUCUGUGUACCACGUGCUGGGGUCUCCUGGAACUGCAGUUACAGAUGGUUGUGAGCUGCUACGUGGGUGCUGGGGACCAAACCUAGGUCCUCAGCAAGAGCAGCUGGUGCUCGUAACCUCUGAGCUCUCCGCCCAUGGUUUAUUAUUUAUUUAUUGGUGGUGGGGUGGGGUUGUUUUGGUUUUGCAAGACAGGGUUUCUCUGUGUAGCUCUCUGGCUGUCCUGUAACUCACUCCAUACUCCAGGCUGGCCUCAAACUCACAGAGAUCUACCUGCCCCCACUGCCGCCGCUCCCACCCCCCUCCAAUGCUGGGAUCAGAAGCAUGGACCACACUACCCAGCCCUGAUCUUUUUCCUUUAAGAUUUAUUUAUUUAUUUAUUUAUUUAUUUAUUUAUUUACUUACAUAUAAUAAAUAAAUAAAUCUUUAAAAAAAAAAAAAAAAAAGAAUUUUAUAGGAUUAGGAAUUUUCUGAAUUUCUUCUCAUGAGUAGUGGAGAUUGAACCUGGGUUCUGCACACCACUCUGGGGUCCUGCUGUUGCUUCCCGGCCCUCCAUUGGAUAGAGCUAGGGGAAGUGACAGGUUUUCAUGAGACUGGCUUGUCUCUGUCUUCAGGGGCUGCUUAGCAGCUUGCUCAGAGCCUCACAGGUUGUCGUUGCUGUUGAACACUAGGCGCUGGUGCCUGUGAGCCUCAGAGGGGGAGUUCACAGCAGCCUCCGCAGACUCCUUCCCCUUGCCCCUUUGGUUAGUCUCCUGUGCUGAUAGUGUGCAGGGCUCGUUGGCCCUGGUGACUGAGAAACAAAGGUUGGACUCAUUGGUUUGCUUAGGAAGCGAUUUUUCC
rnacentral:lncRNA from 1 species